rnacentral:lncRNA from 1 species
UUUUGAGUCGAGCCGAGCUCGAGCUCUAAACGAGCCGAUUGAAAUUCUCGAUAUUAUAUAAUCAAUAGUUUAAUUUUUAUAGAACAUUACCUACAAUUUAAUGCAACAUGUUCAAUAGUUCAAAAUACAAAAUAAUUAUAAAAAAUGUGAGCUAUGGUGACUUCCUGACUGGAGGGUCUGAGAGAGAGAGAGGAAAAAAAGUAUGGAUUUGAAAAUUUGAAUGUUAUCAUUUUUAGGGUAUGUGCAACAGUAAAAGUCUAAAAGAGAUAGUGUGUUAUGUAAAUUUAGAGUUGGGCUCAAUUGCACGGUUGUACUUAUUGGGUUUAUUUUAUGGGCCAACAAUAAUAGCCCAAAUUAAAUUAAAGCUUAUAUAUAUAUAUAUAUAUAUAGUCCGACUGCUAUACUUUUAUGAGUAUUGGCUGCUUUAUACUCAUAAGUUUUUGACCCUUAGAUUUAUUCCAUAAUCAUUUUCAUCCGUUAGAUCAUACUAUUUAACCAACUACCCACUCAACCCUAGGGGACCGCCAUCAUCCUAACCACACAUCCCAUCAAUCAACGGUUAAAAAUUUAUAAGUACAAGGGGGUCUAUACUCAUAAGAGUAUAGUAGCCCCAGCCUAUAUAGAGUCCGACUGCUAUACUUUUAUGAGUAUUGGCUACUUUAUACUCAUAAGUUUUCGACCCUUAAAUUUAUUUCAUUAAUCAUUUUCAUCCGUUAGAUCAUACUAUUUAACCAACUAUUUCGAGCCUAAUUCGAACGAGCCGAGUAAUACUCAAGCUCAGCUUGAAAUGAAUUUCGAGCCUUUUAUUUUGUUCAAGCUCGGCUCAUUUAAUUUCGAGUUGAGCUCGAGCGAGCCGAAUAUCGAGCCGAACACGAGUCGAACGCGAGCCGGCUCGCUCGUUUGCCAGCCCUAGUUGUGGGGUUUGUGGAUUAUUAUUAUUACUAGUGUAAUGACCCGCUCUUUGCGGCGGGAGGUCGUAACAUUGAGAGCUAA